UUAGUACUCCCUUCGUCUCAAAAUUCUUGUCUUAAAUUUGUCUAGAUACAGAUGUAUCUAAUACUAAAAUGUGACUUGAUACAUCUGUAUUUAGACAAAUCUAAGACAAGAUUUUUGGGAUGGAGGAACUAUUAU
rnacentral:pre_miRNA from 1 species